CAGAACCAGUUUAAGUUUUGUUGUUAUUGCUUAUGUGUUUUUUUCUUUUUUAUAUAUAAGAUUUUUUGUAAAAGUCUAAGUUGACAUUUAUAUUUAUAUUUGCACUGUGCGCAUGAUGAGUGUACUUAUCAUAGACUGUAUAUAGAAUGGACAGAGUCUGCCUCCUUGCUGGGUGAAGCCACUCCGAGAACAGCACCCUCUGUUGAUGGGCUGCAGUAUAGGUCAUAAAUCCCGCCUCCGCCAGCAAAGCUUAUGGAGCUGUGGACAAACUUUAGAAAUUAAUUACACAGAACAUACAUUUUUCUCCCCCUGCUUGCGGUGUUGACAUGUAGUUACAGUAAGACUGGUUUGUGCUCAAGUCCUCAUUUUUCUGUACAGCUCUAUUGGCAUUCAAGGAUUGCGUAGCUCACCAGGGGGAAAUGCUGUUUGAGCCCAGCGUCAUCACAGCAACUCUCCCGCCAAAUGCGCACAACGCUACUGCGCAGUAAUGCUUUCAGGAAAUGAAGAAAAAUCGCGGAAAUACAGAGAGCUUUUUGGCUUCAAAUCCAUAUACUGACGGGAGGCAGAACCAAGUUGUCCAUAGUAUGCCAUAGUACAGUCUUUGGCAGGUACCUUAAAAUUUGAUAGUGAGCUGUGUGUAACCACACUCUUCCUCCCCAAGGCCACUCUGAGCUGCCAACACUGCAGCGGUGGCCCAGGAGUGGUGGUCUGGAGAUCUUCUGAGGACCUCUUCAGAGGACCUCCACACCACCCCACCUGGAAGCACCAGCUUGCCUUCACCCCCAAGGAACACCCGUGAGUCCAAAGAUGAAUACCAAUGAUGGUAAACACACCCAAGGGGUCGGAUUUGAGGGGAUGCAUAUAAUUGGUGGAAAACCACCCAAAAGUGGAUUUUUCAUAAUAGGGGACCUUUAACAGAAACAUAAUCUUUAAACUUCUGCAUCUAAACCUACAGAGCACAAACACUGUGGUGAUCUGAAAAUCACAUGCAAAAGAAAACAGAGUUUGGAAAAAUUAGUGUACAGUUAUGAUGCUAGUGAUGCAGAUUAAAUAUCAUUUGAUGUCUUUGUUACUGGUCAUGGUCCACACCACCUUUUAUGUAAAGCAUCUGCAGACAACACUUUUUGUGAAUUAGUGCUCUAUGGAAAAAUUUGAAAAAAAAAAUAUUUUAGAUGCUGACAGAAAUCACUGAUGACUUCUAAAUCAGUGAACUGUGUUUAUUAGUCAAGACUGAAGGAAUAAAUAAUGAAUAUGAUAAGAACAUUUUUAUUGUUCAAAAAGUAUUUGAACUACUUUGCAUUUAUCUGCUGUAUAUUUCAGUAUUUAUAUGUCUUAAGUAUAUUACACAGCGGAAAAAUAUUGCAGUAUUGUUUUUGUAGUAUCGUGCAGCCCUGGUUUGAACUCAGUUUUUCUGCAAAGCUUGUGUGGAGACACACAAAACUUACCUCUAACUACGUGGUAAACUUUGCCAUCCAUAUUUCCUCCUUUUGGAGGUAAAAGUGUAAAGUUUAAUUUCUCUCUAAACAGCCUGAUUUCACACAGUGUGCAGUGCCAGUCUCCGCAGCAGGUCUGUUUGAAAUACUGCGAGGUCAGAGAGUAUUUCCACCGCUGUGUUAGCCUCAGCAGCAGCAGGCGGACAGCAGAGUAAAACAGAAGCCACAACCUCUCAUAACAUAAUGACAGCCACGGGAUCACAAAUAAGACACAGAGGGGAGCAGGGCCGGGUGUCUCUGUGUAAUAUUUCAUCACAGAAAAGCUAAAUAAAUUCCUCACUACAGUCAAGUGAAACCACGUCAAUGCAGCAGAUGUAAGAAAUGGCAGCUGCUGGAGGAAUGCGGUUUGGCAGCAAGCGAGGCCUGAGAGAGGCUGGAAGGUCCUCUCACGUUAACACUUUGUGUUUGGGAACACAAAGAUACAUUGUUGACGGAUGGAGGAGAUUCAAUCUCUACGUCUGUGUUGGGGUUUGUGUGUACAGGAGGGGGCGGAGGGUCCGGCCCCUUUUAUCACCACAUGGAAAAAUCCCACAAAUGGAGCACAGAUUUAGAGAAGGCUCAGCACGUAUUUUAAAAGAACAGUGAGAAGCACGCACACGCUUCAUCAGAGCAGGUAUUCACACACACACAUACAGACACACACACACACACAGAGAGAGAGAGAGAGAGAGAGAGAGAGAGAGAGGCUGCAGACCUGGCAGGCGGUGUGGCAUCAGGGUGGCAGCCAGCUCUGAAGGCCAGUAAACCAACAGGCCUCCAGCACAAAGAGCAGAGCCAGAGCUGUAAUGUUAGCAUAAAUCUGGAAUCAGACGGGCACACACAGCCCACGCAGGAGCCCACUCCUCCAGAUGUUAGUGAGACAGCUCUUAUUUUUAUUUGUCUCCUCCCUCAGAUAAAUACACACACAUGUUCGGAGUAAAGCUGUCUGGAUUGACGAGCCCGUCAUGGCUGAUUAGACCUCUGAUGAGAUCUCUCUGCAGCUACAGCUCUUCAGAGGACUGGCAUUUAUCAACGGUUUAAUUCAGUCCUGUUCAGCUCAGAGUCCUUCAGAGGUUUUGUUUGGCUGCCUGCUGCAUCAGACACUUUAAAUCUUUCUGAAAGCAGUGUCCACAUUUAAUCAUUUUUAUCUAUGCAGCCUUCAGGAACCUGUUUACUUUAAAGACUUUCUGUACUCUGACAAUUUACCAAAUUUCUUGCAAUUUAAAUUAUAUUUGAAAAAACAUUUGUCAUUUAAAGACCAUAAUACGAAGCAACUGUUAUUGAUCACCCACUCAGUCAGACGUUACUUAGUGUAACUAUAGUAUAAUAAUGAUGCCAUGUUGGUGCCCUGAGACUACCUCUGCCUCAGAAAAACAAGGUGGACUGCUGUAGUCAGCUGUAGUUAACUGUAGUCAGCCGUAGGCAGCUCAUGUCAUCUGGAGUCAACAAGUUUAUUCUUUGACACAUAUACAGAGGAAUAUUUAAAUUUCAGCCCCAAAGUAAUAAACAUGUAUUUAAACAUGUAUAAGUAUUACAGCACUUUCUACCAACAUUGUCUUUAUUUUGUAUUCACUCAGUUGAGACUUGGAGGCAGAAAGAUUAUCUGCUCAUGAUUGUAGUUCACUUGAUUUGCUAUUUCAUGUUUUUUAAUGUAUCAUUCAUGUUUGUUUUACUUUGUUGAAUUUAUGUCUGCUUUUUUUCUGAAACUUAUUUUUACUGUGCUCCUGUCUAUGUUGGCCAGGACAUUUGUGAGAGAUUUCUUUUCUGCCUCAUUGCGUUUUGAAUAUAUCUUAGAUAUAAAUAUUAUAUAUUUGAUCCCUCAAUUAGUCCAAAUUAGAUAAAAUAAUACAGGUAUGCUCUUGUGACAAUUCAGUUAAAUCAUGAUAAGUAAUUUAGUAUUGAUUUAAAAAAGUCAAAAUUUUGGUAUUAGACCAUAAUAUCACCUGAAAAGUUCACUGUAGUUUUUCAAACAGUAUGACCAACACAUCAGCAUUAAUCACAUAAAGGGAUGUUUCAUUUUUUACUCCCCUGGAGCCCUCAAAUCUUUACAGUCCUGCAGAGGUCCUGCCCUCUUAGAUGCUCCAGUUAUAAUGCUUUAUAAAACAUCCUCUCUUGUUCCUUUUCUUUGCAUUGAUAGCUGCUCAUCAAAGUAUGAAUAACGGCAAAUUGACCCCUGGAUGUUCCCCUGUCCUCACACUAGAGAAUUACACUUGGAAAACUAGCCCAGUAGAUGAUCUUUCAGAUGAAAAAUAUGGAAAUAUAUUAAAAAUAUGGAAAGAGUGCUGUCUACAUGUAUAUGUACACCUUCCCCACCCUCUCCUAACAUCAAAGAGCCCUAUGUCCCUCCUCCUGAGCCAUAUGCUGAGGAGAUUGGGGGCUGCAGAGGUUUCCUGCUCCACUGUGCUUUAGUGUUCGAUCAACAGCCAAUUAGUUAUCCCUCGGAUCAGUCCAAGAUUGCCUACACUGUGAACCUUUUAAGAGGCAAAGCCGUUAAGUGGGCUACUGCCAUUUGGGAGAAAAAUUCGCUGAUGUUGUCCUCAUACGCCAGGUUCACUGAGGAACUUUGCAAGGUGUUUCAUUAUCCUGUCAAGGGUCCCAAAUGUACUAAGCAGUUGUUUUCCCUCACCCAGGACUCUCGGUCUGUGGUGGAAUUCUCUAUUGAGUUUUGCACAGUGGCGGCUAAGAGUGGGUGGGGGGAACAAGAGUUAAAGGGUGUAUUCUCUCAUGGUCUGUCCGAACAGCUAAAAGAUGAAUUAGCUGCUCGUGACGAACCCUCCUCACUUGAGGAGCUAAUCCCAAUAGCCAUACGAUUAGACAAUUGCCUCAAGGGAGAGACGGAGGGAAAAUAAAUUAAAUUACCCUACCCAUACCGUAGACUCCCCAUCCUCUUUUGCAGUCAGUGGGUCUCCUCUGCAGCCCUCAGUUCACCUGGAUCUGGAGCCCUCUACCGGGGAACCCAUGCAAAUCAGCCGCACCAAAUUACACCCCAGCGAACGGCAACGACGGAUGGAUCAGAAGCUCUGUGUCUAUUGUGGCCAGGCCUGCCACUUUCUGCCCAGCUGUCCUAACAAGAUUAAACGGCCAGGCUAAUCAGUGACAGAGGGCACCCUGAUGAGCCAAACCUCCUCUGUCCCCAGCUCCCCCAGACAUAUCUCCGUACCUGCUUGCCUCCUGUGGGGAAAGAAUGUACAUCGCUACAAACCCUUAUUGACUCAGGGGCAGAUGACAACUUCAUUCAUGCCGGACUGGCAGCGCGGCUUCAGCUCCCCCUGGAGGUACUCCCGGUUCCCCAUAAGGUCACCGCUCUCGAUGGCAGGGUUAUGGCCAUCAUAUCCCACUGCACUACUCCUCUCAACCCUCAUCCUUUCAGGAAACCACAAUCCCCAAAUUAACUGGUCCACCGCUUCAAUCUCCACCUGGAGUCCUCACUACCAUUCUCACUGCCUCCGCUCCGCCAAUCCCUUCAUCCACCGACAAAGGUCGGCACCGCCAUUACCAUCUCUCGCCUCGGUCCCCCCUGUUUACCAUGAUCUGGCAUUGGUUUUUAAUAAAGAACAAUCUCUCGUCCUUCCUCCUCAUCGCCCCUAUGACUGCGCCAUAGAUUUGCUCCCUGGGGCCCCUCUCCCCAGCAGCAGACUGUACAAUCUCUCUCGGCCCGAACGAGAAGCCAUGGAGGAAUACAUCCAGGAUUCGCUGACAUCUGGACUCAUCCGGCCCUCAUCCUCUCCCCUUGCUGCUGGCUUUUUCUUUGUAAAAAAGAAAGAUUCCUCUCUCCGUCCCUGCAUCGACUUCUGUGGACUCAACGAGAUCACCAUUAAGAACAAGUAUCCCCUGCCACUCAUCGAUCUCUCCUUCGAAGCUCUCUGCAAUGCCUCCAUCUUCUCCGAACUGGACCUGCGGAAUGCCUAUCACCUGGUUCGCAUCAGGGAGGGUGACGAGUGGAAGACGGCCUUCAAUACACCCAUUGGCCCCUUCGAGUACCUCGUCAUGCCCUUUGGCCUCACCAAUGCUCCCGCUGUGUUCCAGGCUCUCAUUAAUGACGUCCUCCGUGAUAUGAUUAACCAAUUCGCCUUCGUCUAUCUGGACGAUAUACUGAUCUUCUCCCGCAACCUGGAGGAACAUCAACAGCACGUUCGACUUGUCCUCCAGCGCCUCCUUGAGAACCGCCUCUUUGUCAAACCUGAGAAGUGCGAGUUCCAUGCCUCCUCUGUCAGCUUCCUUGGAUACAUCAUUGCCCAGGGGGAGCUAAGCCCAGACCCGGAGAAAGUCUGCGCCGUCCGUGACUGGCCCACUCCCUCCUCCUGCAAAGACCUCCAGCGAUUCCUCGGGUUUGCAAACUUUUACAGGAGAUUCAUCCGGAACUACAGCAAGGUGGCUGUGCCUCUCACCCGUCUCACAUCCCUCAAAGUUCCGUUCUCCUGGACCCCUGAAGCAGACGCCACCUUCCGUCAACUCAAGUCCCUCUUCAUCUCCGCCCCGGUGCUCAAACACCCGGAUCCCUCUCUCCAAUUCGUGGUGGAGGUCGACGCUUCAGAGUCUGGAGUGGGGGCCGUCCUCUCACAGAGGGAUUCUGAGACCCAGAAGCUCCAUCCUUGCGCCUACUUCUCCCGGAAAUUCUCACCCACCGAGCGCAAUUACGACGUGGGAAACCGUGAGUUGCUGGCUGUUGUGUGGGCACUCCAAGAAUGGAGACACUGGCUGGAAGGAGCACAACACCCCUUCCUCAUCUGGACUGACCACAAAAACCUGCAAUAUCUCCAUUCUGCUUGACGCCUCAACUCCAGGCAAGCCCGCUGGUCCCUCUUCCUCAGCAGAUUCUGCUUCACCCUCUCCUAUCGUCCCGGCUCCCCCAACCCUAAACCUGACGCCCUAUCUCGGAUACACUCCUCGGCUACCUCAGACCCCAGAGAAUUGGACACCAUCCUCCCUGCCUCCUGUAUCCUUGGCUCUGCCUCUUGGGAGAUCGACACCUUGGUGGACAAGGCCCUCCGGAAACACCCGGACCCUGGAACCGGCCCUCCUGAUAGAAAGUUCAUCCCUGAGGUUGCACGUUCCCAGGUCCUACAGUGGGGGCACUCCUCUAAACUCACCUGCCACCCCUGAUUUCAAUGCACCCUCCAAUUCCUUUAGCAGUGGUUCUGGUGGCCGGGGAUGGUCUGGACGUACGGCUUUUGCUGCUGCCUGCUCCGUCUGUGCCCGAGGCAAAGCUUCCCAUCAACCUCCGGCUGGCUUACUGCAUCCUCUGCCUGUGCCCUCACGCCCCUGGUCUCACAUAGCUCUAGAUUUCGUCACUGGUCUCCCCCCUUCUGAAGGUAACACAGUCAUACUCACCAUCAUAGACAGAUUUUUCAAAUUUGUGCAUUAUGUCCCAUUACCCAAGCUCCUGUCUGCUCUAGAAACUGCUUAUCUCCUAGUGUCUCAUGUAUUCCAACUUCAUGGUAUCCCCAUGGACAUAGUGUCAGAUUGUGGUCCCCAGUUCUCCUCCCAGGUCUGGAAAGCUUUCUGCCAGGCAGUAGGCGCGGCAGCUAGCCUCUCCUCAGGCUACCACCCACAGACCAACAGCCAGAAGGAGCGGGCCAAUCAUAACCUCGAGUCGGCUUUGCAGUGUGUGGCGGCCCAUCAUCCAGCGUCCUGGAGUACUCCCCUCCCGUGAAUCCAGUACGCCCAUAACUCCCUCACCUCCUCGGCCACAGGUAUGCCCCCCCUCAAUGUGCUGUUUUGGGUACCAGCCCCCCCUGUUUCCCGAACAGGAGCACCCGGUGGCUGUUCCGUCAGUGAGGGAGCACAUUGGGCGUCUAUGGGAAGUGUGGAGAUCCGCCAGGGCCGCACUCACCCGCACGGCCAAGCACAACAAACGCCUGGCUGACAUUCACCGCUCUCCAGCACCAGACUAUCAUCCCGGUCAGAUGGUCUGGUUAUCGUCCCGUGACUCUCCCCUGCAGACCGAGUCCCGCAAGCUGUCCCCCCUGCUUCAUUGGUCCCUUCCCGAUCCAGAAAAUUAACAACCUAUCAGCGGUAAGACUGAAACUUCCCUCAUUCCUCAAAAUUCACCCCAAGUUUCAUGUCUCCCUGAUAAAGCCUGUCACCUCAUGCACCCUGAGCCCCCCCCCCCCCCCGACCACCCUGCCUUCACUGUGGGACGAAUCAUGGACGUGCAGCCUCGGGGUCGAGGCUUCCAAUACCUUGUGGAUUGGGAGGGACACGGGCCAGAGGAGCGCUCCCUCAUCCUGGACCAUCAACGACUUCUACGCCGCUCACCCCAACAAACCUGGCCAAGAGGCGUUCGUUGAGAGGGGGGUACUGUGGUGAGACGCCUCCUCCUCUUGUUUUAUUUUGGUUGGACUUCCUGUUUUUCUUUGUUUUCCUGGUCUGGCGUGACUCUUUUCCAGAGCACCUGCCCCCUCCCCGGUCGCUAAGGCUGAGUGAGACUCCACACCUGCACUGCAUCUGCAAUCAAGGCCCUUUCGGAGGGAGCAGCCCUCAGUCUUAGCGCCUGAGUAUUUUCUUCAUUCCUUAGUGGUAAAGACGCUUCUCAUUGGAUAAGUGCUUGUGACUUUUUUGCUCCCUGUGAUUCUUUGUAUAUCUUCUCACUUCCAUCUCCUCUGCCUCUCCACAGUGUCUCCAGCCCACACAACAGCCAGCCAGCAAACUGGACUUUCUCUCAUGCCUUUUUCCCUGAGUUGGACAUUAAAUACAUCAUUAAUUUGCUAUCUGCCUCUGUGUCUGCUUCUGGGUCCACAAGAUACACCACACGCCACAAGAAAGUGUCUUAAACAUGGAAAGUGUAACAUUUUAACACUCAUUUUCUGUUCUUAAAAUAGCCUGAGUAUGCCACUGUCUGUGUAUGUUUGCUGAGAGCAAUGCCAAACCAAGUCAAAGACCUUGACUCUUGUGACUAAAUGUGGGUCAAAAGUACAUAAUUUUAUGAUACUGAAUACACAGUUAAUGUAACUGUAGAUGUCAUUGGUGAGGAAAAAUAUCCUGAAAAGUAUCAUACAUUUCCCUUCAGGUUAAAGUGUAAUCUUUAAUAUCUUAUGUCCACGGACAUCUCACCAACAUUUACGAUGACUGAACCAGAAGAUCCAAAGCCAAAUUCAAUGUCCACAGAGGAGCUCUGCAUGGUUUCUUCAUGUCAGAGACACAGGGGUCUCAUCUUCAUUAACACUUCAAAGCCCACAGCAGGACUUUAAAGCUCUGUUUGGCAGUGCUGUCUGAGACCUCUGGAGGGUUCUGGAAACUAUGGCCCUCUCAGUGCUGACAGAGCUCACUCUGUGCACUCUGAAUUCUUCCUUGGAGCUCAGUCAUCACGCUUUGCACCAUCUUUGGGUGGAGAUGUCUGUGGGCUUACCUCACCAGGACAUAUAUGGACACAUACAGAAACCUUCAUUUCAGAGCUGAUGGAGGGGGUCAUUAUAUGAACCAGCUUUACUAACCAGAGCCAUGCAGAUCUGGACAUAAGCUUGGAGUCAAACAAUGGCAGAAAGUGUCUAAAGUCUUAUUUCUCUUUCACAUGUGACUCAGAAAUAAGUAUUUAUUCAGUCCAAGAAACUGCAUGAAGUGGGAUCUGGUUCCAGCUGCAGCCGAUCACAUUCUGCAGCUUCAAACCAACACGAUACUCAGCUGAGAACUCGUCGGUGUUGCUAUGACAGAGAGUAAAUAUUACACCGUUUACCUGAGACAGCUGUCGUAAUUUUUGCACCCGCCGCAGCAGCUUGGCUGAGCCACAGUUAGUCCGAGGAGCGGUGAGCUACAGCAACUGUUCGACAGCAUAAUGGCCCAUUUGGUUUGUAUUUAAGGAGACGUAGCAGUUCGGUCAGAACCUCUGUUAUGACACAAAAAUGUGUCGAAAACCAGAGGAAUACAUCACGCACAGGAACUACUACAUGUUUGUUCUGCUAUUAGCCCUCCGUUUGAGCAUCUUUCUGGCCUGAAAAUUAGUAUCAGGUGCUGCAGCCUGCAGCCAACUCUUGAUUUCCACAUCAGUUUAAAGAAAUAACACUGCCUGGGUGCUCUUCUGUCUUGUCUUAAUUUAGAUAAGGAAAAAUGAGACCAUUCUCCAACCAUCAAACUCAAGGUAGCAGCCAGCAGCUGGCUAUCUUAGCUUAGCAUAGAAAAUGACACAAUCGUUUUUUGUUUUGUUCACUCAUUUUGUAACAGUUAAAAAAAUUCAUCACUUUGAAUCAAUGAGUGUUGUGCCAACAAAGCACUAUGCUUCAGAAAUUCGUUGGCAGGAUAUACUGUAUACUCGCUGUGCCGCUGAUGUGUCCAGCUACAUUAUGAUCAUAAGAGAGAAAAUGCUUCACUUGUGUCAUUGAAAGAUAACCCGGAGAAAGCAUGCCAAAAAGCUCCGCCUGUUUUUACCUGCUUUUAGAUGGUUCAGUAGUUGUCCAGCAGAUGAUGAUUUCAUCAGCCAAAUUGUCUGGCAGAAAAAAUUCAGAACAAAUCACAGCAAUACUGGUUAUUAAUGGAAAAGUAAAAACAUCUCAGACUCAAGAUCUACCCUUUCCAUGUUACCACACAGGACAGUGGACAGUGCAAUCCAGCACCAGAUAUUCUGCUUUCACCCCGAUGCCCAAUGGCUCUUUCAGUGAUCAGUAUCUGUAAAAAAGAAUGGUUUCCACCAUACAUUAUUUAACACACUUCCCUUCACUAGAAACUGUAUCUUACGUUCAUUUAAAGUAAAAGGAAAUGUGGGGUAUUGAUCAACCUGAGCGCAGUAUCCUGGAGUAAAUCCACAGCAGGUGAGCACGGCAUUGAUCAGGGUGAAGUCCAGAUAAAUCGACUCAUGACUGAAGUAGCAGGUAGGACUCUUGAAGAUGGAGAUAAACAUUCAAACAACAGAGAUUUUCCUCUGUUACUAACUGGAUAGUAUAUGAUAAAACUCUGAAAUAACAGAAACAUACAACCCUGCAAACACCGGUGGAUUAUUAUCCUGUAUAUUAACAACCCACCUUUGUCAUGUUUGAAUAUAUGCAACUUUAUGUGAGUGUCUUUAUGUGUGGAAAGGGUGUUUGUCUUACCAGUGGGUCCAACAUUACACACACCAAAUCCAUCUGUGCUCAUAUGAGAGAGUGUGGAGGACGCCCAAUGCAGCGCUUACAGUGACACUUGUUGAAGAGCUGCCCUCUGUCGCCAUCAUGUGGCAUUACUGUCUUCAGACAUCUCUUGAUCUCUUUGACUACUUCACGAAAAUAGUAAUACGCCUCGCUGGUGGCGGAUUUAAAGGCAAGGAGAGGAGCUUAUGUGAUUGGCUGUGUUAAACCCAUACCACGACCUCUCUCCUCCCUCGCUACGACCUACGCUGCUGGGAUGAGCUGAGUUAGGGAGGGGGGAUACCUACGCCGGGCCGCGUUGCUCACCGAAAUACCAAAUUGUGCUUGGGAACGCCUUGUCGGUGCGGCGGACCUGACUUACGCCGUGCCUGCGUCACGUCUCCAGCGAGGCACAAAAAUAGAGGUGAUACCUGAAAACACUCUGUAGUUUCAUUUUUAAGUCUGGUUUCCUCUCGCCCCCCAUCUCCUCACAUCAGGGAUGGUAAUGGAUGUCAGUUCCUGACCUGACUGAAACAAAUCUGUGCUACUGUCUGCAGCUCUGCAGGAUGAAUGUAAAUAUCUGAGAGCAGCAUGUUGCCUGCUUGGUGCCGAGCCCCUGGUGUCCAGCACCAGGAGUGAAUUUUGGAGUCUCUCUUAGCCGUGUGAGCAGAAACAAAGGCUCAGACCACGGCGAGGCAGAAUCACGCAACACCCCGAAAACACUGUUACACUAUCUGUCCACACCACAGGAGGGCACACAACACAGAUGGGUGGGCUGGGUCUCCUGUUACAGUCCACUGUGGGUACAGUGUUUGUGGAGGCUGAGGUACAGAAAGGCGUUCAAACAAGCCAGAGCUCAGCGGGGUGAUAAAACGAGCCAUAUUCGAGCUGGAGGUGGUGAUGGGUAGACAAAACAGUUGCCUCAGAAGUGGAGCUGUUAUUACAUAUACACUACAGUCACACUGACAACAACACAGAGAAGGGGAAGGCCUCGUACAUGCACAUCUGGUUAACAAGUGUGAGGCGUCUGAAGGCGUCAGAUUCCUCUGACGUCUGAAACAAACAAUCUGAAAAAACAGGUCAAACACAAUUCUGAGAAUUCCUCCAUAUAUUGCAGUCUGAAAAAACAGAAUCUGUCGUUUCAAGUGCAACUAGCAGGUUAGUUUUCUACAACAGUAACACAUAACUAUGCCUGGAAACAGCUGUUGAUAAGCAUUCCUGAAAGUACAAUUAAAUAUACUGUGUUUUUCAUGUUUAUGACAAGCUAAUGCAGAGCAGCCUUCAGUUUAUCCAUACUCCCCUGUUUUUGGCAAAGAGCCACAUGGUUUGUGGAAUCAGUCAGGUGAGAUGUGCUGCUCAUGGUUGACAGUCUCAUUUAUAGACAUACAGUUUGCGGUCUUGUUACAUCCUCUGCUUGUUUACUCAGAUCAACUACACUGACUGAGUCUGAAAGUGUUUUGUUGGAGCUGAUGAACGUUUAGUAGCAACAUUAACUAAAAAUCUGCAGAUAUUGAAAAUGCAAGAAAGAUGAUGCUACCCAGCAGACCAACCACAGGGCUUGAAGUCGACAUUUAGAUGCAUGGUUAAAUUUUUGAGGAGGUGCGUGUCGCAGGCCUCUGCACAGGUACCGGGUUACAGCAUAGAUUUAAUUCAGGAGUAUAAACCAGACCUGAAAGACUGCACGACUUAUUACUGAAGACACUGAAUUUCCGGAUAGUUCAACUUCCUUUUUUCACUUGAAACCUGAGGAGGGAGCUCUUUUCACUUUGUGCCAGUUUCAACUCUUCGAAACAUGACAACAAAGCUGAACUUAAUUGUAUUUUUCAGGCUUGCUGACAAUGUUAACUCUGACAAAUCUACACUUAAAGAUCUGCUUCCCUCUUUCUGAUCUGAGAGCAGCUUUGUGUAACCAGAGAACAAAUCGUGCCCUCUUUCAGGCCAUUAGACAGACAGGAGCACCGCUGCUUGAACUCCACUAAAUGACUCUCGCAAGCUAUGUGAUUACAAAACAGUUGUCACGCCUCUGUUAUUCCACAUAAUCUGAUUGAAAGGUAAUCCUGGGACAAAGUGGAGAGUGGAUACAGCAUUCUGAAUGAAAAGAAACCAGCAGACAUGUGGAGUAUCUUUUGUUUGUGUGACCUGGGUACGAUUUCCUGGCACAGAGCUUUAUUUGACUUUCGCCCGCUGGUGGGAAGGUGGGAGAGGUGGAGGUUGGCUUUGUUUUUUCAAAUUCAAUUGUCCACGCUACACUCAGAGAGCAUGAGCUUCCUGUGGUUUGCAGUAAUAAACCCAAACUCCGAUUACUUUCAAGGCUCAAAGGGCUGCAAACGGUCAGGAGGUAAAACAGGGAUGUGGACCUGUAAUGAGGUUAAGGUUGGAGCUACUUGACCCUGUGAGCCCCAGAGAAAGUGCCAACAAGUUUAACCUCCAAACCCGGUUCCUAGACUCUGCAGGGUGGAGGUCUUUCCUUGUGGAAAACAUCUUCCAGAGACUUCCAGACCUCCUAGUCUCUUCAAAGUCAGUGAAAUUGGGGUCUUUAGUCUUGGUGGUUUACAACAAGUUCUCUGCUCCAACCCCAAAAUCGAGAUCAGCCUGUCAAAG